rnacentral:rRNA from 1 species
GGGCGCAGGAAAUUUGAGAGGAGCUGUCCUUAGUACGAGAGGACCGGGAUGGACGCACCGCUGGUGUACCAGUUGUUCCGCCAGGAGCACCGCUGGGUAGCCAAGUGCGGACGGGAUAAGCGCUGAAAGCAUCUAAGCGUGAAGCCCCCCUCAAGAUGAGAUUUCCCAGUAUGUAAGACCCCUUGAAGACGACGAGGUAGAUAGGUUCGAGGUGGAAGCGCAGCAAUGCGUGGAGCUGACGAAUACUAAUCGGUCGAGGGCUUAUCCA